rnacentral:rRNA from 1 species
AGAAUCAACGCUGGCGGCGUGCCUAACACAUGCAAGUCGAACGCGGUUACCCCGCAAGGGGUGACUGAGUGGCAAACGGGUGAGUAACGCGUGGGUGACCUACCUUCGAGUGGGGGAUAACGUUUCGAAAGGAACGCUAAUACCGCAUGACAUCCUGCCUUUGGACAGGCGGAGAUCAAAGCCGGGGAUCGUAAGACCUGGCGCUUGAAGAGGGGCCCGCGUCCGAUUAGCUAGUUGGUGGGGUAACGGCUCACCAAGGCGACGAUCGGUA